CCUACGGGUGGCAGCAGUGAGGAAUAUUGGUCAAUGGGAGAGAUCCUGAACCAGCCAAGCCGCGUGAGGGAAGACGGCCCUAUGGGUUGUAAACCUCUUGUGUCGGAGAACAAAACCCGGGACGUGUCCCGGCCUGCGUGUAUCCGAAGAAAAAGCAUAGGCUAACUCCUUGCCAGCAGCCCCGGUAGUCAGUAGGAGGGGAGCGUAUUCCGGAUUUAUUGGGUUUAAAGGGUGCGUAGGCGGUCCGUUAAGUCAGCGGUAAAAUUGCGGGGCUCAACCCCGUCGAGCCGUUGAAACUGGCAGACUUGAGUUGGCGAGAAGUACGCGGAAUGCGCGGUGUAGCGGUGAAAUGCAUAGAUAUCGCGCAGAACUCCGAUUGCGAAGGCAGCGUACCGGCGCCAGACUGACGCUGAGGCACGAAAGCGUGGGGAUCGAACAGGAUUAGAUACCCUAGUAGUC
rnacentral:rRNA from 1 species